CCCUUAGAUGUUCUGGGCCGCACGCGCGCUACACUGAUGCAUUCAACGAGCCUAUCCUUGACCGACAGGUCCGGGUAAUCUUUGAAUCUGCAUCGUGACGGGGAUAGAUUAUUGCAAUUAUUAAUCUUCAACGAGGAAUGCCUAGUAGGCGCAAGUCAUCAGCUUGCGUCGAUUACGUCCCUUCCCUUUGUACACACCGCCCGUCGCUCCUACCGAUUGGGUGUGCUGGUGAAAUGUUCGGAUCGGCCGUUUGUCGCGGUUUCCGCGUCAUGUGGCUGAGAAGUUCAUUAAACCCUCCCACCUAGAGGAAGGAGAAGUCGUAACA
rnacentral:rRNA from 1 species